CACGUAGGGGCCAAGCGUUGUCCGGAUUCAUUGGGCGUAAAGAGCUCGUAGGCGGUUCAGUCAGUCGGGUGUGAAAUCUCCGGGCUCAACUCGGAGGGGCCACCCGAUACUGCUGUGACUCGAGUCCGGUAGGGGAGUGGGGAAUUCCUGGUGUAGCGGUGAAAUGCGCAGAUAUCAGGAGGAACACCGGUGGCGAAGGCGCCACUCUGGGCCGGUACUGACGCUGAGGAGCGAAAGCCAGGGGAGCGAACGGG
rnacentral:rRNA from 1 species